GAUGAAGAACGUAGCGAAAUGCGAUAAGUAGUGUGAAUUGCAGAAUUCAGUGAAUCAUCGAAUCUUUGAACGCACAUUGCGCCCCCUGGUAUUCCGGGGGGCAUGCCUGUCCGAGCGUCAUUGCUGCCCUCAAGCACGGCUUGUGUGUUGGGCCUCCGUCCUCCUCCCGGGGGACGGGCCCGAAAGGCAGCGGCGGCACCGCGUCCGGUCCUCGAGCGUAUGGGACUUCGUCACCCGCUCUUGUAGGCCCGGCCGGCGCUUGCCGACACAUCAAUCUUUUUUCCAGGUUGACCUCGGAUCAGGUAGGGAUACCCGCUGAACUUAAGCAUAUCAAUAAGCGGAGGA
rnacentral:misc_RNA from 1 species